rnacentral:rRNA from 1 species
CCGUACACAAAAGCGCAUGUGCUGUGAGCUCGAUGAGUAGGGCGGGACACGUGGUAUCCUGUCUGAAUAUGGGGGGACCAUCCUCCAAGGCUAAAUACUCCUGACUGACCGAUAGUGAACCAGUACCGUGAGGGAAAGGCGAAAAGAACCCCGGCGAGGGGAGUGAAAAAGAACCUGAAACCGUGUACGUACAAGCAGUGGGAGCACAGGUUUACCUGUGUGACUGCGUACCUUUUGUAUAAUGGGUCAGCGACUUAUAUUCUGUAGCAAGGUUAACCGAAUAGGGGAGCCGGAGGGAAACCGAGUCUUAAUUGGGCGUUAAGUUGCAGGGUAUAGACCCGAAACCCGGUGAUCUAGCCAUGGGCAGGUUGAAGGUUGGGUAACACUAACUGGAGGACCGAACCGACUAAUGUUGAAAAAUUAGCGGAUGACCUGUGGCUGGGGGUGAAAGGCCAAUCAAACCGGGAGAUAGCUGGUUCUCCCCGAAAGCUAUUUAGGUAGCGCCUCGUGAAUUCAUCUCCGGGGGUAGAGCACUGUUUCGGCUAGGGGGCCAUCCCGGCUUACCAACCCGAUGCAAACUGCGAAUACCGGAGAAUGUUAUCACGGGAGACACACGGCGGGUGCUAACGUCCGUCGUGAAGAGGGAAACAACCCAGACCGCCAGCUAAGGUCCCAAAGUCAUGGUUAAGUGGGAAACGAUGUGGGAAGGCCCAGACAGCCAGGAUGUUGGCUUAGAAGCAGCCAUCAUUUAAAGAAAGCGUAAUAGCUCACUGGUCGAGUCGGCCUGCGCGGAAGAUGUAACGGGGCUAAACCAUGCACCGAAGCUGCGGCAGCGAACGUAUCACCCAAGACAACUUUACGGAGUUGACGAUUGACGGAGCGAAGCGACGUCAAAGCGUUCAUUAAAGUCGAGUUGGCUUAGGGAUACGUUCGUUGGGUAGGGGAGCGUUCUGUAAGCCUGUGAAGGUGUGUCGUGAGGCAUGCUGGAGGUAUCAGAAGUGCGAAUGCUGACAUAAGUAACGAUAAAGCGGGUGAAAAGCCCGCUCGCCGGAAGACCAAGGGUUCCUGUCCAACGUUAAUCGGGGCAGGGUGAGUCG